rnacentral:rRNA from 1 species
GACGAACGCUGGCGGCGUGCUUAACACAUGCAAGUCGAGCGGUAAGGCCCUUCGGGUACACGAGCGGCGAACGGGUGAGUAACACGUGGGUGACCUGCCUCUAGCUCUGGGAUAAGCCUGGGAAACUGGGUCUAAUACCGGAUAUGACUCCACGGCGCAUGUUGUGGGGUGGAAAGCCUUGUGUGGCUAGAGAUGGGCCCGCGGCCUAUCAGCUUGUUGGUGGGGNGAUGGCCUACCAAGGCGACGACGGGUAGCCGGCCUGAGAGGGCGACCGGCCACACUGGGACUGAGACACGGCCCAGACUCCUACGGGAGGCAGCAGUGGGGAAUCUUGCGCAAUGGGCGAAAGCCUGACGCAGCGACGCCGCGUGAGGGAUGACGGCCU